AUGGACGGAUGGCACGACCCACCGACUGCUCACCGUGAGCCAAUCAUCGCUCGGCUUGGAACGCACGACUGGCACGGAAGCCGAGCACUUUUUCGCCACCUCGCCGGCGCGCGGCGGGCCGACUCGUGUCGCCGCCGGAAAGGCGCGGCGAAAGCAGCCGGGGAAGACGCCAAGAAUGAUGCCGCCCCGCCCCGGCGCACGCACGCACCACCACCUCACCUCGCCAACUUUCCACAUCCGGCGAACCGCCUCCGCCCCGACCCGUCCCCCGCGCCACCUAUAAAACCCACCCCACCCCACCUCCUCCUCCUCAUCCCACUCCACUCCCAUCACCACACAGCGCGCACCAGCAGUCCAGCACACACUGCACCCACUGACACUGUGACAAGCCGACGCGCACCAAAGCUAAGCUAA
rnacentral:rRNA from 1 species